rnacentral:rRNA from 1 species
AACGCUAGCUACAGGCUUAACACAUGCAAGUCGAGGGGCAGCAUGAACUUAGCUUGCUAAGUUUGAUGGCGACCGGCGCACGGGUGAGUAACACGUAUCCAACCUGCCGAUGACUCGGGGAUAGCCUUUCGAAAGAAAGAUUAAUACCCGAUGGCAUAGUUCUUCCGCAUGGUGGAACUAUUAAAGAAUUUCGGUCAUCGAUGGGGAUGCGUUCCAUUAGGUUGUUGGCGGGGUAACGGCCCACCAAGCCUUCGAUGGAUAGGGGUUCUGAGAGGAAGGUCCCCCACAUUGGAACUGAGACACGGUCCAAACUCCUACGGGAGGCAGCAGUGAGGAACAUUGGUCAAUGGACGAGAGUCUGAACCAGCCAAGUAGCGUGAAGGAUGACUGCCCUAUGGGUUGUAAACUUCUUUUAUACGGGAAUAAAGUGAGGCACGUGUGCCUUUUUGUAUGUACCGUAUGAAUAAGGAUCGGCUAACUCCGUGCCAGCAGCCGCGGUAAUACGGAGGAUCCGAGCGUUAUCCGGAUUUAUUGGGUUUAAAGGGAGCGUAGGCGGACGCUUAAGUCAGUUGUGAAAGUUUGCGGCUCAACCGUAAAAUUGCAGUUGAUACUGGGUGUCUUGAGUACAGUAGAGGCAGGCGAAAUUCGUGGUGUAGCGGUGAAAUGCUUAGAUAUCACGAAGAACUCCGAUUG